rnacentral:rRNA from 1 species
UACGUAGGGUCCGAGCGUUGUCCGGAAUUAUUGGGCGUAAAGGGCUCGUAGGCGGUUUGUCGCGUCGGGAGUGAAAACCUACAGCUUAACUGUGGGCUUGCUUUCGAUACGGGCAGACUUGAGGCAUGCAGGGGAGAACGGAAUUCCUGGUGUAGCGGUGAAAUGCGUAGAUAUCUGGAGGAACACCGGUGGCGAAGGCGGCAUCCUGGACCACGACUGACGCUGAGUGAGCGAAAGCCAGGGGAGCAAACGGG